rnacentral:rRNA from 1 species
AGUCGAACGGCAGCAUGAUGUGUAGCAUACACAUUGAUGGCGAGUGGCGAACGGGUGAGUAAUAUAUCGGAACAUGUCCUGUAGCGGGGGAUAACCUAUCGAAAGAUGGACUAAUACCGCAUACGAUCUAUGGAUGAAAGCGGAGGACCGCAAGGCUUCGCACUAUAGGAGUGGCCGAUAUCGGAUUAGCUAGUUGGUGGGGUAAAAGCCCACCAAGGCGACGAUCCGUAGCUGGUCUGAGAGGACGACCAGCCACACUGGAACUGAGACACGGUCCAGACUCCUACGGGAGGCAGCAGUGGGGAAUUUUGGACAAUGGGCGCAAGCCUGAUCCAGCCAUGCCGCGUGAGUGAAGAAGGCCUUCGGGUUGUAAAGCUCUUUCGGCAGGAACGAAAUGGUUCGUGCUAAUACCACGGAUUGAUGACGGUACCUGAAGAAGAAGCACCGGCUAACUACGUGCCAGCAGCCGCGGUAAUACGUAGGGUGCAGGCGUUAAUCGGAAUUACUGGGCGUAAAGCGUGCGCAGGCGGUUUUUUAAGUCAGAUGUGAAAUCCCCGGGCUUAACCUGGGAACUGCGUUUGAAACUGGAAGACUUGAGUGUGGCAGAGGGGGGUGGAAUUCCACGUGUAGCAGUGAAAUGCGUAGAUAUGUGGAGGAACACCGAUGGCGAAGGCGGCCCCCUGGGCUAACACUGACGCUCAUGCACGAAAGCGUGGGGAGCAAACAGGAUUAGAUACCCUGGUAGUCCACGCCCUAAACUAUGUCAACUAGUUGUCG